rnacentral:lncRNA from 1 species
UAUUAUUAUAUACUGAGAAUAGAUAUACUUAUCAUAAGAUAUCUUUAAUCUUUAUAACAGGUACAAAUAUUAAAUCGAGGUAUCCAUUCCUGCAAAAGCAUUCAUUCUUCAAUUCAUUUCAAAAUACUUCAAUUGUUACGCGCAAAAAAUAGGCCAAACUAUUUCGAUCAAAAGUGUAUCACACGGGAAUCUCAAUCAAGCGCCAAAGGGAUUACAAAUAUGCGAGAGUGAGUGGCUUGUCUCUAGAUUGCUUACAAUGUGUCCAAAAAACGACUGCCCUCAAAGCUAGAGAAGUCCCAUUCCCAUGCUCUAUGGCCCUUGAUUACCUCCACCUAUCUGAAGAUCAGUUGGUCGAACCUGACAUUUUUUCUCUAUUGCCAAGGAUGUCGAAUACCAGAGGAUACCUUUUACUCCGUCUUCACUGCUUCAUGCUCUGUGUCUUGGAAUGUUUUGCAUUUCUCAUGUUCCAGAUUGUCCAUAUUAAUGCAGAAGGCAAUGGGUCUAAGUGAUGUUCUGAUUUCUGAGAGUUGGAGUGGCAUGAUACCUUGCACGAAUUCCAGCCAGAUUGUUGCUGCAUAUUCACAGAAGAAAGAAGGUAGAGUAUUGUUUCCUCAUCCUUUGAGCAUAAUGUGCAUCUGUUGGUUAUAAUAAUGUCUCUGGCUCUCAAGUUGUCAACCGUUAAGAUGCGUCCAUUCAUUUGAUUCAUUCGACAUUACAUAUCUGCUCCUAGUUUCAGUUCGAUACUGAUUUAAGUGAAAUUUAAUGAUAACACCAUCUGCUUGUCCGUGCAUAUAUGAGAUAGGUACAAAAUUCCUUGCAGCUGUGGUUGAUGGCGUGAGUGGUUGAAAACAGCCUUGGGUAGUGUUACCAUUUACAACAAGACAUAACAGAAUGACCUAUGGUAUUUAACACCAUUACGUCAAAUGGUUUGGCAUUUAACACAGUUAGCUUAUACAUUGUGUAUGUUUUAUACUGUUUCAGAAGUAUUAAGCUGGACUUUUAGCUCAAAUGGUAGAGCACGAGUAUCGGAACAUAUCCUAUACAUCAAUAGAUGGUGGUUCAAAUCCACCAAGGUCCAUGAAAAAUGUGUCCACUAGAGUUGUGCUUGUAUAAUUGUUGUACAGAUCUUUUGGAAUUAAGGGACUGGUGUAUAUUUUCUUAGAAAUUUGUGCAAUGUGUGUGAACAUCUUUAAGGCUUUAAUAUCUUGAUUGAUUGGUAUUGCUUACGAUUUAAAAUUUUGAAUGCAACAACAUUUUUCAUUUAUGACUGCAGAAGUGAACGCAGCACACGGAAAAAGGCUCCUGUAGGAUCAUCUAACUAAUUAACUGUUGGAACAUUUUGUUUACAUGUGGAAGUGUAUACUUUUAUUUGUUGAGGUGUUUAUUGUGUGCAGCAACCAUUGAAAUUGAUUUUGGUAUUUUCCAUUUGGAAACUGAUCUCUUUCCUUGGUCUAUUGUUGUACAACUUUGUUGGUGAGUGGUAUACUUGCCACCUUCCUCGGUGGCUCCUUUCAAGCAAGUUGCUAGGAAAUUUGCAGUUUAAUUAACCUCAAACUAGUUCAUAAUAGCCAUAUGGUAUGGUUUCUUGUAAUGAGGAAAGCUUCGAAGAACCGAACACUAAAUUUGGAGUUAGCUAAUUGCCUUUUGCAGAUUUUUUAUUCGUCCUAACUAACUAAUUGUUUUGUUUAUUGCAGAUGUUUCAAGUGCUUUACUGACUCGCUGAUGGAGAACAGCCGGAAGAGUCUGUAUGAUGGUUGACAGUGCGAAGGAUUCAUUGGAAGUUGAAUUACAUUUCUUGCUUACUUUCUUCUUCUUCUUUUCUAUGAUCAAUGUCUUUUUCAUAGUUGCAGGACUAGGUCUGAAAUUGUGAUCCUUGAAAGAUUUACAUUUGUAGUCGAAAGUAUAUGUAUAUGAUCUUAAGAACAAUUAGACAAAUAGUUACCAAGCCACGAGAAUGAGUGACCCAGAAACCGAAAUAAGCAGCAAAGGUUGUGGCAGCUUUUUGCAAUCAGAUUGUUUGUUGUAUUUCACUCCAUUGUUGGAGUUAUUAAUGCUUUACAGUGUUGGAACGGUAUUGAAUAUGUGUGGUUCCAAAUAGUGUUAAAGUACAUUUGAUUCCAUAUUGUUGUGUACAACAACAUAAAAGUCGAUGGCAGGUACACAUUUUGUUGCAAUGAAAAGGGCAUAUUAAGUUG